CACCUGGGUGUGCUGGAGGCCCAAGAGGCUCACUGCUUCCAAGAGAACUGUCCCUAAACACGUACAGAGCCUGAUGAACAUCUUACGUCAUGACCCACAAGUGAAUAAGAGAAUGGAUUGUAUGAAGUAGUUCUUCCUUGAAUUUUUGCUUUAGGUAAGUUGGUCACACAAUCAAGGGUGUGUGUCCCAAGUUACUAUGGGACACUUGUUUUUAAAGCAGAAGAAAUUCCUUCAGAUUGUUAUAUAAAAUAUAGUUUUCAAGUGCUCACUUAAGGUACUUGGCAGCAUAUAAAAAAUUCAUACUUGCAGCUUUCUGGCAGUCAUAUCCACGUUAUUGUUCAUGGCAGGGAUCAGAAGUCCUGCCCAAUUAGUCUGUUUCUUAGUGUGCUGAAGCUCUCUAUCCUCCGGAAGCUUCCCUCUGUCUUGUUUCUUAUGCAGGGCUCUCUGGUUCCUGAGUUUGUUGCAUCCCUUCCUCCAGCUGGAGUAGAGAAAACAAAGAGGGUCUCUUGGGAUCUUGGCCUCAAAUCAAGAAAUAACCUUGUGGCUGGGCACAGUGGCUAAUGCCUGUAAUCCCAAGACUUUAGGAGGCGAAGGCAGGAGGAUUGCUUGAAACCAGGAGUUCAAG
rnacentral:lncRNA from 1 species